rnacentral:lncRNA from 1 species
UGAGAAGCCACACUGGGGCCUUCAACCCCGGGAAGUGGCAGAGAAUGCUAGGAAGUCUAUGAAUGGCCUCCCGGGCCGCUGCGCGCUUAUGAAGUCCUCCUUUCUCCUUGGGCUGCGAACUCCCAGGGAAGAGAAAGGAAUCUCUGUCUGGUUUCUUUCAAAGGGGGGUUUGUAGAAAAAAAAAAUAUUCAACAUUAUCCAAGGAGCAACUUACUGGCUAAUUUUCAGAGCUAAAUAUCCCAGCUGCUCCCAAACAUUUCUUUUUCAUAUUCGUCCAAAGGACCGGCGAUGGGGUCGACAUCAGAUGCAUUUUCCACUUACGCACGCUGGUUCUCUCUCUAGGGAGGUCGCCAAUGCUGAGGCCUUCCCAGAAACUAUUUUUAGGGAACAACUGCUCGGUGGUAAGAGUUCACCAGAAUAAAAUCAACUCCAGGAAGCUGGGGAGUAACUGCAAAGUGUUCUUGUUAUUUGGGGCGCCGAACUCGAAUCUCUUCAAGCUGUCCCAGACCCACGGAAGUCACCUGUCCCUCUGCAGAAAAGCAAGCAAGAGCGUGCCAAGGCCACUCGAGAGUCGUGGCCUUUAUUCGGAGGCGGUGAGUGGAAUUCUGGAAGCGAUGUCUGAGGGGGGGACGCGGCAGCCACCUCCCUUCCCUCACGUCCAGGAAGCAGGCCCGAAAAAGCUGUGCGCGCACACGUGUGAGCUUAGUAAGUCUCAGUCAUGCCACCAUUACGUCACUCAAAAUAAGACUAUACAUAGUUUCAGAGGCAGAGACGCACUCAAGUUACCUCGACAUAUGUGUGUCGGGAGCAGCGCUUCUGCUGCUGCUGGGGGGAGCCCGGGAAAAGCCAAGUGCCCUCGUGGCGGGAAGACAGCGGCCUGCGGUUGCCGUCCAGCUGCCCACUGGAGUCUGAGCCACCGCCUCCUUAUUUCUGGUCUGUCAGGGUGUUUGCUCCCUCAUGGCGCACACACUUUCUUGUCCCUUGAACGUCUCGGGUCACCAAUGGAUGCAGCCGUGCCUCUCGUCUCCCUCAAGGCACCACGUCAGCCCCCGCCUCAGUCACCGAGGGUUCCCUCAGUCCAGGGUCUGGCCGACGAGCUGACGGCCUUGUUCGGCCUAGUUCGUCUUCU